GGUGCUGUGGCUGAGUUGGUUAAAUUGAAUGUCUAGUAAACAGAAGAUCCUGAGUUCAACUCUCAGCUGUGUCU
rnacentral:tRNA from 1 species